GAUCAUGGCUCAGGAUGAACGCUAGCUACAGGCUUAACACAUGCAAGUCGAGGGCAGCAUGGUCUUAGCUUGCUAAGGCCGAUGGCGACCGGCGCACGGGUGAGUAACGCGUAUCCAACCUGCCUUACACUCUUGGACAGCCUUCUGAAAGGAGAUUAAUACAAGAUGUUAUCAUGAGUAANCGGGAUUUUCGCAUGAUUAAGGUUACCGUGUAGAUGGGAUGCG
rnacentral:rRNA from 1 species